GUGCGCACGGCGUCGAACCCCCGAAGCCCGGGUUUGGGGCGCCCGGAGGGAAGUGGGGGGAGGGGAAGGCGGGCGGAGGCGCGGCGGGUGAACGCCCGGCCUGCGGGCGUCUCGGGCCGCGGCGGGGAGGGGAGGGAGGGGCUGCCCCCGCGCGGGCCCCGGCGCGCGCCCCCGAGGAGACCCGGGCGGCAGUGGGGGAGGAGGACGCGGUCGGCCGGGUCGCCGCGCCCCAUUGGAAAACGCUCCCCAGCAGGAAGCUGGCAAAUAGGAAUCCAGCGUCCCGCGCCCGCUGUCGGACCUGGCCGCUGCGGCAGCGGGAGGGGCGGACCGACGGCCUCCUUCCCGCCUGCGCGCUCGGCCAAGUGCGGCCGGGUCCUGCGGGACCGGCCCGAGUCCGCCGUAGACAACUUGAUCCGCUAAGACUCCUGGGCCGGCCGCCUGCGUGCAGGGCAGCCCCUCGCCGGUGUUGGCCUCCGGGAUCAGGGGACGGGGCUCGCUCUCCUCCCGGGCCCGGGCCCCCGACGCAAGAUGGCUGUGUCGCGUCGGCCUCUAAACAAUGUGUGGAGCGCGCAGCUCCUGCACCAGGGCCUGGUGGCUUGUCCUGCCCGCCCGUGGGGGCCGUGUGAUCUGUUUUCGGAAACCGAAAUAUUUAUUGUUGGAUUUAUCCAGGAAGGCUGUUCUGCAUUAGUUAAAUGCAUCAUAUCUUCAAGAAAUGUUAAAUGACAUGGAUGCUUCCAGCCCUGAAGCAUCAGACUCCAGGUUCUUUGGCUUUUGGACUCUUGGAGUUACACCAGUGGUUUCCCAGGAACUCUCCAGCCUUGGGCCACAGACUGAAGUUUGCACUGUCGGCUUCCCUGCUUUUGAGGUUUUGUGACUCAGACUGAGCCAACUGGCUUCCUUGCUCUUCAGGUUGCGGACGGCCUAUCGUGGGACUUUGCCUUGUGAUUGUGUGAGUCAAUUGUCCUUAAUAAACUGCCUUUCAUAUAUACAUCUAUCCUAUUAGUUCUGUCCCUCUGGAGAACUCUGACUGCUGAUACACAUAGCAAGACCCCGUCUCUAAAAAAAAGAGAGAAAGGCACAUUGGAAAAUAGAGAAUAGAUCAAGAAAACAAUCCACUCAUAAUUCCAUUACCCUAUCACUACCACUAGUAGCAUUCCAAAAAGGUUUUCAUUAUUAAUUCAGGUUGGUGCUAUAGUGGGUACACAGGGUCAAGGGGAAGGUACCUGCAAAGUCUAAGUGAAGCAAAGACUAUCCUUUGAGAAUGAAAUUAGGAAAAAUUGUUGAGAUCAGCCCUCUAUAGCAAUGGCCCAAUCUAUGAAACUGAAAUAACUUUGCUGAGACAUUUCAGCUUUCUCAUCUGUAAAAUGGCAAUAAUACUUGAAUUCCCUCCUUUUCAGACUUGUUGUGAGAUUAAAAUAAAAUAAUAAAAAGCAACAAAUUAUAAAGUCAUUAGUAAAUGGAUGUAUCCUACUGUGUCAUGAUUAUCCAAUUUAUUUAAAUGACAUAGGCAAUCAAAUUUCAUAAUUCAGGAUUUAAAAAAUUGUACUUGGGGCCUCUCAAUUCCUUUCCUGUCUGAUUUGGUGAAAUAUAAUAGGUAGGUAGUUGGUAAAUAAGUCUUGUUUCUCACAGGUUGUAUAUAUCUAUCUGGUUGGAAAUAAAAUAAAGAUAUGGCAGACUAAUGCCUAUUUGCACGUGCUUUUAGAACAUCUCUACUGUACUGUAGCACCAUUAGAUGAUUAGUAUUAGUAACUAAUGCUCUGGAAGUAUGAGAAUAAUAAAAUAAUGAUGAAAAC
rnacentral:lncRNA from 1 species